GAUGAAGAACGUAGCGAAAUGCGAUAAGUAAUGUGAAUUGCAGAAUUCAGUGAAUCAUCGAAUCUUUGAACGCACAUUGCGCCCGCCAGUAUUCUGGCGGGCAUGCCUGUUCGAGCGUCAUUACAACCCUCAGGCCCCCGGGCCUGGCGUUGGGGAUCGGCGGAAGCCCCCUGCGGGCACAACGCCGUCCCCCAAAUACAGUGGCGGUCCCGCCGCAGCUUCCAUUGCGUAGUAGCUAACACCUCGCAACUGGAGAGCGGCGCGGCCACGCCGUAAAACACCCAACUUCUGAAUGUUGACCUCGAAUCAGGUAGGUAUACCCGCUGAACUUAAGCAUAUCAAUAAGCGGAGGA
rnacentral:misc_RNA from 1 species